rnacentral:rRNA from 3 species
GACGAACGCUGGCGGCGUGCCUAAUACAUGCAAGUCGAACGAACUCUGGUAUUGAUUGGUGCUUGCAUCAUGAUUUACAUUUGAGUGAGUGGCGAACUGGUGAGUAACACGUGGGAAACCUGCCCAGAAGCGGGGGAUAACACCUGGAAACAGAUGCUAAUACCGCAUAACAACUUGGACCGCAUGGUCCGAGUUUGAAAGAUGGCUUCGGCUAUCACUUUUGGAUGGUCCCGCGGCGUAUUAGCUAGAUGGUGGGGUAACGGCUCACCAUGGCAAUGAUACGUAGCCGACCUGAGAGGGUAAUCGGCCACAUUGGGACUGAGACACGGCCCAAACUCCUACGGGAGGCAGCAGUAGGGAAUCUUCCACAAUGGACGAAAGUCUGAUGGAGCAACGCCGCGUGAGUGAAGAAGGGUUUCGGCUCGUAAAACUCUGUUGUUAAAGAAGAACAUAUCUGAGAGUAACUGUUCAGGUAUUGACGGUAUUUAACCAGAAAGCCACGGCUAACUACGUGCCAGCAGCCGCGGUAAUACGUAGGUGGCAAGCGUUGUCCGGAUUUAUUGGGCGUAAAGCGAGCGCAGGCGGUUUUUUAAGUCUGAUGUGAAAGCCUUCGGCUCAACCGAAGAAGUGCAUCGGAAACUGGGAAACUUGAGUGCAGAAGAGGACAGUGGAACUCCAUGUGUAGCGGUGAAAUGCGUAGAUAUAUGGAAGAACACCAGUGGCGAAGGCGGCUGUCUGGUCUGUAACUGACGCUGAGGCUCGAAAGUAUGGGUAGCAAACAGGAUUAGAUACCCUGGUAGUCCAUACCGUAAACGAUGAAUGCUAAGUGUUGGAGGGUUUCCGCCCUUCAGUGCUGCAGCUAACGCAUUAAGCAUUCCGCCUGGGGAGUACGGCCGCAAGGCUGAAACUCAAAGGAAUUGACGGGGGCCCGCACAAGCGGUGGAGCAUGUGGUUUAAUUCGAAGCUACGCGAAGAACCUUACCAGGUCUUGACAUACUAUGCAAAUCUAAGAGAUUCGACGUUCCCUUCGGGGACAUGGAUACAGGUGGUGCAUGGUUGUCGUCAGCUCGUGUCGUGAGAUGUUGGGUUAAGUCCCGCAACGAGCGCAACCCUUAUUAUCAGUUGCCAGCAUUAAGUUGGGCACUCUGGUGAGACUGCCGGUGACAAACCGGAGGAAGGUGGGGAUGACGUCAAAUCAUCAUGCCCCUUAUGACCUGGGCUACACACGUGCUACAAUGGAUGGUACAACGAGUUGCGAACUCGCGAGAGUAAGCUAAUCUCUUAAAGCCAUUCUCAGUUCGGAUUGUAGGCUGCAACUCGCCUACAUGAAGUCGGAAUCGCUAGUAAUCGCGGAUCAGCAUGCCGCGGUGAAUACGUUCCCGGGCCUUGUACACACCGCCCGUCACACCAUGAGAGUUUGUAACACCCAAAGUCGGUGGGGUAACCUUUUAGGAACCAGCCGCCUAAGGUGGGACAGAUGAUUAGGGUG